rnacentral:rRNA from 1 species
UACGUAGGGUGCGAGCGUUAAUCGGAAUUACUGGGCGUAAAGCGUGCGCAGGCGGUUUUGUAAGCCAGAUGUGAAAUCCCCGGGCUCAACCUGGGAAUGGCAUUUGGGACUGCAAGGCUCGAGUGCGGCAGAGGAGACUGGAAUUCCUGGUGUAGCAGUGAAAUGCGUAGAUGUCAGGAGGAAUACCGAUGGCGAAGGCAGGUCUCUGGGCUGACACUGACGCUCAUGCACGAAAGCGUGGGGAGCAAACAGG